UGUGUGUGUAUGUGUGUGUGUGUGUGUAUGUAUAUGUAUGUAUAUAUAUGUGUGUGUGUGUGUGUAUACACACACACACACACGCACACACGCG